UUAAGGCCUAUCCAAGAAAAGAUAAGAAAAUCAGAAAAACACCAAAUAUAAGCAACUUUUAGGAGUACAAAUAAAAAUGUAUCAUAAUUGCCCAUUAGAAACUUUUAAGAUAAAACAAUCUCUUUUUUUUUUUUUUUGGUACCAGGGAUCAAAACAGGGGUGCUUAACCACUGAGUCACAUCCCAGCCCUUUUUAUUUUGACUCAGUCCACUAAGUUGCUGAGGCUGUCCUCAAAAUCAUGAUCCUCCUGCCUCAACCUCCCAAGCUGCUAGGAUUAUAGGCUUGCACCACAACACCUAGCAAGAUAAUAAAUUAAAAUAAGUCAGUAAAUAAACAAACCAAUUAGUUUAAAAUAAACUCACUGUUAUUUCGACUUCCUCAAUACAGGUAUGAAUAUGCAGCACUGCAUUAUACCCCGGGCAGAUGAUGGAUUUGUGCUCUAUAAUCACUAUCUGCCAAAUAAGGAAAAGAUGAAUUCUUUCUUAUUAACCUUGUUCACAAGGGAGCUCAGGUUGCUACUGACAUGGAGAAAAUGUGUGUGUGAUUCAUAUCUGCUAAGUUAUUUGCCAUGAAUGAGCAGUUAAACCACAACUUCCAAGGCAACUGAGCUCUAGUCAAAGUGAAUGACACUAAACAAAAUGGUUUCACCUAGUUGCCAAGGCUGGCCUUAAAUUUAAGAUCUUCCUGCCUCAGCCUUCUUAGUAGCUGGGAUUACAAGCCUGUGCCACCACCACUGGAAAUAUAAAAUUCGUCUCAAAGUUUUAUCAUGGAUGAAGGACUUAAACAUGGAGAAUCCAAGUUGGCCAGCUCAUCAAUCCCGCACAAGUUAUUCAAGGCUAUGUACAUGGCAGGUAAUGAAAGAUAUAUUUGAUUCAAAUUACAUCUUUUAAACACAAACAUAUGACUAAUCCUUUUUUUAAAAUGCUUAAUUCAGGGCUGGGGCUCAGUGAUGCAGUACUUGCUUAGCAUGUAUGAGGCACUGGGUUCUUUUUUUAGCACCACAUACAAAUAAAUAAAAUAAAGGUCCAUUGAAACCUAAAAACAAAAAACAAAACGAAACCAAACAAAAAAGCGUAACCUAUAUAUUUCAUAUAUCA